GCCUGGCCUGUCCCUGACGAUGAGGCGCGACAGCGUGGGGAGCGAACGGGAUUAGAUACCCCGGUAGUCCACGCCGUAAACGAUGGGUGCUAGGUGUGGGAGGUAUCGACCCCUUCCGUGCCGGAGCUAACGCACUAAGCACCCCGCCUGGGGAGUACGGCCGCAAGGCUGAAACUCAAAGGAAUUGACGGGGGCCCGCACAAGCGGUGGAGCAUGUGGUUUAAUUCGAAGCAACGCGAAGAACCUUACCUGGGCUUGACAUCACCGCGAACCUGGCCGAAAGGCUGGGGUGCCCUUCGGGGAGCGCGGUGACAGGUGCUGCAUGGUUGUCGUCAGCUCGUGUCGUGAGAUGUUGGGUUAAGUCCCGCAACGAGCGCAACCCCCGCCCUGUGUUGCCAGCGGUUUGGCCGGGCACUCACAGGGGACUGCCGGUGACAAACCGGAGGAAGGUGGGGAUGACGUCAAAUCAUCAUGGCCCUUAUGCCCAGGGCUACACACGUGCUACAAUGGCCGGUACAACGGGUUGCGAACCCGCGAGGGGGAGCCAAUCCCUAAAAGCCGGUCCCAGUUCGGAUCGCAGGCUGCAACUCGCCUGCGUGAAGCCGGAAUCGCUAGUAAUCGCGGAUCAGAAUGCCGCGGUGAAUACGUUCCCGGGCCUUGUACACACCGCCCGU
rnacentral:rRNA from 1 species